AUGGCCGCGGUCGUGACCGGAGCGAUGGGCACCCUCCUGCCCAAGCUCGCCAACCUGAUCACCAAGGAGUACAACCUGCACAAGGGUGUCAAAGGCGAGAUCAUGUUCCUCAAAGCUGAGAUGGAGCAUAUGGAGGCGGCUCUGGUUGAGAUCUCUGAGGCGCCAAUUGAUGAGCCGCCUGACAGGCAGAUCAAGCUUUGGGCCAAGGAUGUGAGGGACCUAUCAUACGACCUCGAAGAUAACAUUGACAAGUUCAUGGUGCACAUCGAAACCCAUGGACAGCCAGAGAAGUCGCACAGCUUCAGGGAUUUCAUUGAUAAGUGCCUCAGCCUGCUGACCAAGGGCAAGAUUCGGCACAAGAUCGGCAUCGAUAUCGAAGACAUCAAGAGACGCAUUGAGGAGAUCAGUGAGCGGCGUAAAAGGUACCAGAUUGACGGUAAGGCUCCUGCCAAGCCACGCGGUCCAACUGUUGACACCCUUCGCCUGUCAACCUUGUAUAAAAAGGCGACGGAGCUCGUUGGCAUUGACGAGAAGAGCUUUGAGGUAGUCGAGAUGUUGACACAGGGAGACGAGGUUUCCAAGAAACAGCUCAAGGUGGUCUCUAUUGUUGGAUUUGGUGGAUUAGGCAAGACAACCCUUGCCAAUGCAGUGUAUAAGAAGAUGAAAGGACAAGUCAAUAUUCAAACACAAAAACCGCAAUUUGAUUGUGCGGCUUUUAUUUCAGUAUCUCUUAAUCCUAACAUGAAGCAGAUUUUCAAGAGCUUGCUCCAUCAACUUGACAAGCACACGUACCAGAAUAUUAAUGAGGCAUCUUGGGGUGAAGAACAGCUCAUUAGUGAGAUAAGAACAUUCCUUGAAAACAAGAGGUACUUGAUUGUUAUUGAUGACAUAUGGGAUAAAUCUGUCUGGGAAAAUAUCAAAUAUGCUUUGCCUGAAAAUGAAUAUGGAAGUAAAAUAAUCACAACAACUCGCAUUCUUGAUGUUGCCCAGCAAGCUGGUGGUUUAUAUCGUCUGCAACCUCUUUCUGUUGUUCAGUCAAGGAAGUUAUUCUACCAAAGAAUAUAUGGCACUGAAAAUAAAACAACACCCGCUCAAUUGGUUGAAGUAUCUGAGAACAUUCUGAAAAGAUGUGGUGGGGUGCCUUUAGCUAUCCUUACAAUUGCUAGUUUGCUGUCCAGUAAAAUGGAAAGAGCACAUACACAUGAGUAUUGGUCCAAGGUGCAUAAAUCUAUGGGUUCAGGGCUAGAUAAUAGUCAUGAUGAUGUGAAGAACAUGAGACAGAUAUUAUCAGUCAGUUACUCUGAUCUACCUCCACACCUAAAGACUUGUUUACUGCAUCUUAGUGUGUAUCCAGAGGAUUAUGAGAUUAAAACAGAAGAACUGAUAUGGAAAUGGGUGGGUGAAGGUUUUGUGAAAAAAGAACAGGGGAAGAGCUCGUAUGAAGUAGGAGAGGCUUACUUGGACCAACUCAUUAAUAAAAGCUUGGUCCAACCUGAAAGAUUUGACAAUGAGAACAAAGUGCGCUCUUGUUGUGUUCACGAUAUGGUGCGUGACCUUAUCAUUUCCUUAUCAAAUGAGGAGAAUUUCCUAACUAUAGUUGGUGGUCAGCAGCCAGUGUAUCUACCAAGUAAGAUCCGCCGACUGUCCAUCGAGACCUGCAUUGAAGAAGUUGCUAAUCAGCUGACAACCACGGGCUUGGCCCAUGUGAGGUCACUUACUGUGUCUAGCCUAGCUUUCAGUUUGUUGCCAGCGCUUUCGUGUUUUCCAGUCCUACGCGUGUUGGAUUUAACUGGAUGCGAUAAAGUGGAUAAUAAUCAUUGGAAGGAUCUAUGCAGUUUGUUUCACCUGAGAUAUCUGCGUUUAAAGGGUACAUCUAUCACUAAGAUCCCGAAAGCUAUUAGGAAUCUAAAAUUUAUGCAAGUGCUGGACAUAUGGCCCACAAUAAUAGAAGAAGAGCUUCCGUCAACAUUUGUUCAACUAACGCAACUGUUGUUCCUAAGUAUUACAAUGAAAACACUAGGAGAGCAGGAUCUUCAAGUCCUUUGGAGCAUACCAUCUCUCAGAGAACUCUACAUAAUGGUGAAGGAACCUAAACACAGAAGAGGUAAACGGUUGGUCAUUGACAGUGGUUACCCAUUUCUGUGUCUAACGAGCUUCUGUGUCAAUGGUGACACCAUGAUGCUGAGGUUUGAAGAAGGAGCCAUGCGAAGUCUCCAAACUCUGCAGUUACAUUUCUAUGUGCAUCGCACAGUACGUCAGUUUGGUGAUUUCAUAUUGGGUUUAGAGAACCUCUCUUCACUUGAGCAUAUUGAUGUUACAGUCUUUGAUGAGCACAAAGAGAUGCAGACUAUGAAGAAUGCAUUCGAGGAAGAGAUAAGAUUGAACCAGAACAAGCCCAAACCGACAUUGAGAAUAUUGGAACUUGGCUACGAAGUUGUGAGAAAAAUUCAGGCUAAAGACCAAGUGAUUAGGGCAGCUUAUAAAUUCUAA
rnacentral:rRNA from 1 species